CAGGUGGAGCCGCGGUUUAAUCGGACUCAACGCCGGGAAACUCACCAGAUAAGACAGCUGAAUGAUAGUCGGGCUGAAGACUCUACUUGACUAGCUGAGAGGAGGUGCAUGGCCGUCGUCAGUUCGUACUGUGAAGCAUCCUGUUAAGUCAGGCAACGAGCGAGACCCACGCCAACAGUUGCCAGCUCGUCCUCCGGGAUGGUGGGGACACUGUUGGGACCGCCUCUGCUAAAGAGGAGGAAGGAAUGGGCAACGGUAGGUCAGCAUGCCCCGAAUUAUCUGGGCUACACGCGGGCUACAAUGGGUGGGACAAUGGGUAUCGACACCGAAAGGUGAAGGCAAUCUCCUAAACCCAUCCGUAGUUCGGAUUGUGGGCUGCAACUCGCCCACAUGAAGCUGGAAUCUGUAGUAAUCGUGUCUCAAAAUGGCACGGUGAAUAUGUCCCUGCUCCUU
rnacentral:rRNA from 1 species